UACGUAGGGGGCAAGCGUUGUCCGGAUUUACUGGGCGUAAAGAGCGCGCAGGCGGUCGAAUAAGUCGAAUGUGAAAGCCCCCGGCUCAACUGGGGAGGGUCAUUCGAUACUGAUCGACUCGAAGGCAGGAGAGGGAAGCGGAAUUCCCGGUGUAGUGGUGAAAUGCGUAGAUAUCGGGAGGAACACCAGUGGCGAAGGCGGCUUCCUGGCCUGUUCUUGACGCUGAGGCGCGAAAGCUAGGGGAGCAAACGGG
rnacentral:rRNA from 1 species